rnacentral:hammerhead_ribozyme from 1 species
CCGCGAAACCGCCCCCGGGCGGUCGCCCUGGCGUGGUGGCCAGGGCCUGACGAGCAGCCCCAC